rnacentral:rRNA from 1 species
AACGAACGCUGGCGGCAUGCCUAACACAUGCAAGUCGAACGAGACCUUCGGGUCUAGUGGCGCACGGGUGCGUAACGCGUGGGAAUCUGCCCUUGGGUUCGGAAUAACAGUGAGAAAUUACUGCUAAUACCGGAUGAUGUCUUCGGACCAAAGAUUUAUCGCCCAGGGAUGAGCCCGCGUAGGAUUAGCUAGUUGGUGGGGUAAUGGCCUACCAAGGCGACGAUCCUUAGCUGGUCUGAGAGGAUGAUCAGCCAAACUGGGACUGAGACACGGCCCAGACUCCGACGGGAGGCAGCAGUGGGGAAUAUUGGACAAGGGGCGCAAGCCUGAUCCAGCAAUGCCGCGUGAGUGAUGAAGGCCUUAGGGUUGUAAAGCUCUUUUACCCGGGAUGAUAAUGACAGUACCGGGAGAAUAAGCUCCGGCUAACUCCG